rnacentral:rRNA from 1 species
UACGUAGGUGACAAGCGUUGUCCGGAUUUACUGGGCGUAAAGGGCGCGUAGGCGGUUCGUACAGUCAGACGUGAAAUUCCUGGGCUCAACCUGGGGGCUGCGUUUGAUACGUGCGGACUUGAGUGCGGAAGAGGGUCGUGGAAUUCCCAGUGUAGAGGUGAAAUUCGUAGAUAUUGGGAAGAACACCGGUGGCGAAGGCGGCGACCUGGUCCGAUACUGACGCUGAGGCGCGAAAGCGUGGGGAGCAAACAGG